UACGGGAGUAACAACCUGGAAACAGAUGCUAAUACCGGAUAACAACAGAUGAUGCCUAUCAACUGUUUAAAAGAUGGUUCUGUUAUCACUCUUGGAUGGACCUGCGGUGCAUUAGCUAGUUGGUAGGGUAACGGCCUACCAAGGCGAUGAUGCAUAGCCGAGUUGAGAGACUGAUCGGCCACAUUGGGACUGAGACACGGCCCAAACUCCUACGGGAGGCAGCAGGG
rnacentral:rRNA from 1 species